GGAGAGGUGGCUGAGUGGUUAAUAGCCCCGGUCUUGAAAACCGGUAUAGUUUGAAACAAAGAACUAUCGAGGGUUCGAAUCCCUCUCUCUCCU
rnacentral:tRNA from 3 species